rnacentral:lncRNA from 1 species
CCAGAAUUAGUGAACCCACCACACAGCAAGCAAACAACCCGCGACUAUUUGAGUUUUGCUUUCUUUUCUCCUCUCUUGUCUAGUUUCUUCCACAUGGCUCCCGCCUUCUCCUUCCUUCACUUCAUCUUCUUCCUCAACAAAGCAGCCACAUAGAACAACACGCAUUAUGACGGCUUUAUCAUCAUUACACUCGCUAUUCUUUAGCCCACUUCUCAAAAUCCCUUCACCAAAACUUAAACCGUC